UGGGGAAUAUUGGACAAUGGGUGAGAGCCUGAUCCAGCCAUGCCGCGUGCAGGAAGAAGGCGUUAUGCGUUGUAAACUGCUUUUUGCCAGGGGAUAAAAUGAGCGUGCGCGCUUAAUUGAAGGUACCUGGUGAAUAAGCCACGGCUAACUACGUGCCAGCAGCCGCGGUAAUACGUAGGUGGCAAGCGUUGUCCGGAUUUAUUGGGUUUAAAGGGUGCGUAGGUGGCCCUGUAAGUCAGUGGUGAAAUAUCUCAGCUUAACUGAGAGGGUGCCAUUGAUACUGCAGGGCUUGAGUACAGAUGAGGUAGGCGGAAUUGACGGUGUAGCGGUGAAAUGCAUAGAUAUCGUCAAGAACACCGAUAGCGAAGGCAGCUUACCAAGCUGUAACUGACACUGAGGCACGAAAGUGUGGGGAUCAAACAGGAUUAGAUACCCUUGUAGUCCCUGAGCGGGCUGGCAAGGCGCAU
rnacentral:rRNA from 1 species